rnacentral:tRNA from 1 species
GGGGAUUUAGCUCAGUGGUAGAGCACUUGCCUAGGGAGCGAAAGGCACUGAGUUCUGUCCCCAGCUCUGAAAAAAAGAAAAGAAAAGAAAAAAGCACUGGCUGCUCUUCCAAAGGACCUGGGUUCAAUUCCCAGUACCCACA